rnacentral:rRNA from 1 species
GUGAGUCAUCGAAUCUUUGAACGCACCUUGCACCUUUUGGUUUAUUCCGAAAGGUACACCUGUUUGAAUGUCACAAAACUCCCCUCGGCUCUAAUGCUUUCUAAAAGGAUUAGAGACGGAUUCUGAGUGUUGGCGUGAAUACGCCUCGCUUUAAAUUGAUCAGCACUUUUGGAUGGUUGAAGUUUAGUUCAAAAGACGUACUUGAUGUUGUAUUUAUAUGUCAUUGAGGCAGUCUUUGGUCGUUCCGACUAUCCGCUAAUACGAAAACUUGAAGAAUAGCUUCCUAACCCUAUUUAUUUAACCUUUAGACUUCAAAUCAGGUGGGACUACCCGCUGAACUUAA